GCCGUAACUUCGGGAGAAGGCACGCUGACACGUAGGUGAAGCGGUUUACCCGUGGAGCUGAAGUCAGUCGAAGAUACCAGCUGGCUGCAACUGUUUAUUAAAAACACAGCACUGUGCAAACACGAAAGUGGACGUAUACGGUGUGACGCCUGCCCGGUGCCGGAAGGUUAAUUGAUGGGGUCAGCGCAAGCGAAGCUCCUGAUCGAAGCCCCGGUAAACGGCGGCCGUAACUAUAACGGUCCUAAGGUAGCGAAAUUCCUUGUCGGGUAAGUUCCGACCUGCACGAAUGGCGUAAUGAUGGCCAGGCUGUCUCCACCCGGGACUCAGUGAAAUUGAACUCGCUGUGAAGAUGCAGUGUACCCGCGGCAAGACGGAAAGACCCCGUGAACCUUUACUAUAGCUUGACACUGAACACUGGUCCUUGAUGUGCAGGAUAGGUGGGAGGCUUUGAAGUGUGGACGCCAGUCUGCAUGGAGCCGUCCUUGAAAUACCACCCUUUAAUGGCUGGUGUUCUAACGUAGACCCGUGAACCGGGUUGCGGACAGUGUCUGGUGGGUAGUUUGACUGGGGCGGUCUCCUCCUAAAGCGUAACGGAGGAGCACGAAGGUUGGCUAAUCCUGGUCGGACAUCAGGAGGUUAGUGCAAUGGCAUAAGCCAGCUUGACUGCGAGCGUGACGGCGCGAGCAGGUGCGAAAGCAGGUCAUAGUGAUCCGGUGGUUCUGAAUGGAAGGGCCAUCGCUCAACGGAUAAAAGGUACUCCGGGGAUAACAGGCUGAUACCGCCCAAGAGUUCAUAUCGACGGCGGUGUUUGGCACCUCGAUGUCGGCUCAUCACAUCCUGGGGCUGAAGUAGGUCCCAAGGGUAUGGCUGUUCGCCAUUUAAAGUGGUACGCGAGCUGGGUUUAGAACGUCGUGAGACAGUUCGGUCCCUAUCUGCCGUGGGCGCUGGAGAACUGAGGGGGGCUGCUCCUAGUACGAGAGGACCGGAGUGGACGCAUCACUGGUGUUCGGGUUGUCAUGCCAAUGGCACUGCCCGGUAGCUAAAUGCGGAAGAGAUAAGUGCUGAAAGCAUCUAAGCACGAAACUUGCCCCGAGAUGAGUUCUCCCUGAGACUACAAGUCUCCUGAAGGAACGUUGAAGACGACGACGUUGAUAGGCCGGGUGUGUAAGUGCAGCGAUGCGUUGAGCUAACCGGUACUAAUGAACCGUGAGGCUUAACCUU
rnacentral:rRNA from 1 species